AGUACCCCCGACAAAUUAAUGGCAUUGAUUGUGGAUAUUUUGUAAUGCGAUUUAUGAAAGAGGUCAUCAUGGAAAAUGAAAUUAUGAUCCCUGCAAAUUACUUUUCUGACCACAAAUGUCGUACCUACUCUCAUGAUAAGUUAACUGCGGUCAAGGAGGAUUGGGCUACCUAUAUGGUGGAUGAUGUUUUCGGAAAACAAGAAGCGGUUAUUUUGCCAGCUAAAUGAUUGUACUUGUGGGCUGAUGCUUUUGGUUAGUGAAGAAUUGGAGAAUUACUUGGUGUUGUUUUGUUGUCGUUUCUUGUUUUUUAGGUGUUUUAUUUAGAGAAUAUGACUUGUUAUUUUGGGAUUUGGAUUAAAGUACUCUUAGAUGGAAUGCAUGUAUCUAUAAAUUUGGCUAUGCAAAUGCCCUCUUAUUUUUAAGUACACUAAAUACCCUCUAUAUAUGUUAUGAUA